CCCUGUUGUUUUUCCCCGUUCGCAGCCAUUUUCGCCAUGUGGGGAAACUCAACUCACUCGCUUCCGCACUCGCGCCGGCGUCAUGACGGAGGCGUGUCGUCACACUUUCCGGAGAGUUGUCGUCUUCAAAAUAAAAGCACAGAAUGAUUCAUCCUCAUCCAGUGUUAGAUUUCACAGGAGUAGGAGGAGGUGAAGGGCAAAUACUGUAGAAGGCCUUGAGAUGCACUCUUUGGACCUUCAACCUACUGCUCAUGAAGAUCCCCAGCCAAGUGUAGACAACACAGUCCAAGUGAAGCUGCUUAAUAGGCAACAAUAAAA